AACCCCUACUCAUUAGUUGCCAUCAGGUCAAGCUGGGGACUCUAAUGAAACUGCCUACGCAAGUAGUGAGGAAGGUGGGGAUGACGUCAAAUCAGCACGGCCCUUACGUCCAGGGCUACACACGUGCUACAAUGGCCGAUACAGAGGGCAGCUACCUGGUGACAGGAUGCAAAUCUCCAAAGUCGGUCUCAGUUCGGAUCGGAGUCUGCAACCCGACUCCGUGAAGUUGGAUUCGCUAGUAAUCGCGCAUCAGCCAUGGCGCGGUGAAUACGUUCCCGGGCCUU
rnacentral:rRNA from 1 species